GCAAGCAGCCAUAUCACUCUGCAACUCACAACUGGCAGCCCACUGAAGCUCAGCAGGUGUGAGCCUGGUCAGCACCUGGAUGGGAGACCUCCUGGGAAAAACUAAGGUUGCUGCUGGAA
rnacentral:rRNA from 1 species